rnacentral:rRNA from 1 species
UACGAAGGGUGCAAGCGUUAAUCGGAAUUACUGGGCGUAAAGCGUGCGCAGGCGGUUUUGUAAGCCAGAUGUGAAAUCCCCGGGCUUAACCUGGGAAUGGCAUUUGGGACUGCAAGGCUCGAGUGCGGCAGAGGAGACUGGAAUUCCUGGUGUAGCAGUGAAAUGCGUAGAUAUCAGGAGGAACACCGAUGGCGAAGGCAGGUCUCUGGGCUGACACUGACGCUGAGGUGCGAAAGCGUGGGGAGCAAACAGG